rnacentral:rRNA from 1 species
UCUGGUUGAUCCUGCCAUUAGUCAUAUGCUUGUCUCAAAGAUUAAGCCAUGCAUGUCUAAGUAUAAAUAGUAUACAGUGAAACUGCGAAUGGCUCAUUAAAACAGUUAUAGUUUAUUUGAUAAUUGACAAUUACAUGGAUAACCGUGGUAAUUCUAGAGCUAAUACAUGCUUAAACGCCCGACUUUAUGGAAGGGUGGUAUUUAUUAGACUGAAGCCAAUAUUCCUUGUGUCUAUUGCGGUGAUUCAUAAUAACUGAUCGAAUCUCUUUUUGAGAUAAAUCAUUCAAGUUUCUGCCCUAUCAGCUUUCGAUGGUAGUGUAUUGGACUACCAUGGCAGUAACGGGUAACGAAGAAUUAGGGUUCGAUUUCGGAGAGGGAGCAUGAGAAACGGCUACCACAUCUAAGGAAGGCAGCAGGCGCGUAAAUUACCCAAUCCUGACUCAGGGAGGUAGUGACAAGAAAUAGCAAACCGGGAACCUCAUGGUUUCACGGUAUUGCAAUGAGAACAAUUUAAAACCCUUAGCGAGAAUCAAGUGGAGGACAAGUCUGGUGCCAGCACCCGCGGUAAUUCCAGCUCCACUAGCGUAUAUUAAAGUUGUUGCAGUUAAAAAGCUCGUAGUUGAACCUCUGUCUGGGGCUAGUUUUGGCUUUGGUCAGGCUAGUUCUAGGCAUCCGCCUACAAGACUUAGAGGGCAUUCAGUUGUUCACUAGGAGGAGUAGGCAUUUUACUUUGAAAAAAUUAGAGUGUUUAAGGCAGGCAAUCGCCCGCAUAUAUUAGCAUGGAAUAAUAGAAUAGGACACUUUUCCAUUUCGUUGGUUAUUGGAAUCGUGUAAUGAUUAAUAGGGACAGUUGUGGGCAUUUGUAUUUAAUUGUCAGAGGUGAAAUUCUUGGAUUUAUUAAAGACAAACUAACGCGAAAGCAUUUGCCAAGGAUGUUUUCAUUAAUCAAGAACGAAAGUUAGGGGAUCAAAGACGAUCAGAUACCGUCCUAGUCUUAACUAUAAACUAUUCCGACUCAAUGUUUGACUGGCUUAUAUAACCAGUUGAGUGUUGUAUGAGAAAUCAAAGUCUUUAGGUUCUGGGGGGAGUAUGGUUGCAAAGCUGAAACUUAAAGGAAUUGACGGAAGAGCACAACCAGGAGUGGAUUCUGCGGCUUAACUUGACUCAACACGGGGAAACUUACCAGGUUAAAACAAUAGUGGGAUUGACAGUUUGAGAGCGCUUUCUUGAUUGGUUGGGUGGUGGUGCAUGGCCGUUCUUAGUUGGUGGAGUGAUUUGUCUGCUUAAUUGCGUUAACGAACGAGACCUUAACCUGCUUACUAGACUGGCGACC